rnacentral:rRNA from 1 species
CGGCGGACGGGUGAGUAACACGUGGAUAACCUACCUAUAAGACUGGGAUAACUUCGGGAAACCGGAGCUAAUACCGGAUAAUAUAUUGAACCGCAUGGUUCAAUAGUGAAAGACGGUUUUGCUGUCACUUAUAGAUGGAUCCGCGCCGCAUUAGCUAGUUGGUAAGGUAACGGCUUACCAAGGCAACGAUGCGUAGCCGACCUGAGAGGGUGAUCGGCCACACUGGAACUGAGACACGGUCCUG